GCGGACGUGACGCGGGUGAUUGAUCAGGUGGAGCGCCACUCGACUCCCGAUGGAUCUCUUAUCUCUAAGGCCGCCCACGAUCUACAACUGGAUACAGCCGAAUAUCAAUGGCCCUUUCCCGUGAGAUUGAUGCUCGUUUGAAGACGAAAUGUGAUAUGGUAGCUGAUGCUUUUGUGAUGGAUGAUAUUGGAUGAUUUUAAAAAAUCAGGGCUAUGCAAAAGGUGUGUGAG